rnacentral:rRNA from 1 species
ACAAAAACAUCUUUUCUUGUUAGUUUUUGAAGUAUGGCCUGCCCACUGACUUGAGAGUUGAAGGGCCGCGGUAUUUUGACCGUGCAAAGGUAGCAUAAUCAUUAGUUCUUUAAUUGUGAUCUGGUAUGAAUGGCUUGACGAGGCAUAAUCUGUCUUAGGGGCAUUGGUUUAUUGAAUUUGGUUUUUGAGUUAAAAUUCUUAAAUGUUUUUAUGGGACGAGAAGACCCUAUAGAGUUUGACAAUUUUCUUAUUUAUUCGUUGUUUGUUUUAUUUACAUUGAGUGGGAAUAGAUUGUUUUGUUGGGGUGAUGGGAGGAAUAUUAUUUAACUCCUCUUUGUUUUUAUAUAUUUAUGUAUAUGUUUUUGAUCCAUUUAUUUUGAUUAUAAGAUUAAAUUACCUUAGGGAUAACAGCGUUAUCUUCCUUGAGAGUUCUUAUUGGCGGGGGGGUUUGCGACCUCGAUGUUGGAUUAAGGUGAAUUUUCGGUGCAGGAGCUGAAAGUGAUUAGGUCUGUUCGACCUUUAAAAUCUUACGUGAUCUGAG